rnacentral:lncRNA from 1 species
GAUUGUUCUACGUAAAAAUUAGGGAUUCAUGCCACUUGACGGCAUGUGGAGCUAAUAAAUUCAUACCGGAGAGAAUCGGUCCUUGGCAUGUACCAACACAGCACUUCAUUAUCCAGUGGAAGGCAGUAGACCACCGAGAUGUAGUUAAAAACUUGAUUUCAAAUUUAUAAAGUUGUAUACUAAGAAUGUUAUUAAUUUUGUUGCCGGAAAGAUUAAGCAAAUGAUACAUAAUUAUGCAAAUAUUAGUAAUGUGAUAUAUAAAUAUUGUAGACAUCUAGGAACUAGAUAAUAAUACAUAUACCAUAACAGUUUAGUUUUUUGUUACAUUCACUAGUCGGUUGCCGCGAGCUACUGAGAGAAGGGCGUUCUCAAACCCUGAUUGCAACGAUUCCUACAGCUUCCAACUGACACCCUAGAUCAAAC